rnacentral:rRNA from 1 species
GCUUAUAGUCCUAGGCUGAAUGUGCUCAAUCUAUCUGAUCAGAGGGGGGUCUGGUCAUUACUUGAAUGGGAGACUGCCUGGGAAUACUGGAUGCUGUUGACU